rnacentral:rRNA from 1 species
CUGCGGAGGGAUCAUUACUGAGUUCUACAAAACUCCCAACCCUAUGUGAAUUUUACCACUGUUGCCUCGGCUGAGCAGCACCUAUGCUGAGGAGAGCUACCCUGGAGCUACCCUGGAGAAGUUUGAGAACACCUACCCUGUAGGAGUUUGAGAGCAUCUACCCUGGAGACGCUUUCAGAGUUACCACUCUUCUCACUGUAGGGGCAACCUAUGCUCGGCCGGCGGACCACUACACUCUGUUUUACAGCGUAUCUCUGAGUACUAAAAAAAUAAGUUAAAACUUUCAACAACGGAUCUCUUGGUUCUGGCAUCGAUGAAGAACGCAGCGAAAUGCGAUACGUAAUGUGAAUUGCAGAAUUCAGUGAAUCAUCGAAUCUUUGAACGCAUAUUGCGCCCAUUAGUAUUCUAGUGGGCAUGCCUAUUCGAGCGUCAUUUCAACCCUUAAGCCCUGUAGCUUAGUGUUGGGACUCUACUCUUUAGUGAGCAGUUCCCUAAAACUAGUGGCGGUGUUAGGUACACUCAUAGCGUAGUAAUUUUUUCUCGCUCCUGCAGUGGACGUAGCUACCUGCCGUAAAACCCCCUAUUUUCUACUGGUUGACCUCGGAUUAGGUAGGAAUACCCGCUGAACUUAAGCAUAU